GGACUACCAGGGUAUCUAAUCCUGUUUGAUCCCCACGCUUUCGUGCCUCAGCGUCAAUGUUUGCUUAGUAAGCUGCCUUCGCAAUUGGUGUUCUAUGUCAUAUCUAAGCAUUUCACCGCUACAUGACAUAUUCCGCCUACCUCAACAAAAUUCAAGACAGAUAGUAUCAAUGGCAGUUUCCGGGUUGAGCCCGGAGAUUUCACCACUGACUUAACUGCCCGCCUACACACCCUUUAAACCCAGUGAAUCCGGAUAACGCUUGCACCCUCCGUAUUACCGCGGCUGCUGGCAC
rnacentral:rRNA from 2 species